rnacentral:rRNA from 1 species
AUUGAACGCUGGCGGCAGGCCUAACACAUGCAAGUCGAGCGGAUGAAGGGAGCUUGCUCCUGGAUUCAGCGGCGGACGGGUGAGUAAUGCCUAGGAAUCUGCCUGGUAGUGGGGGAUAACGUCCGGAAACGGGCGCUAAUACCGCAUACGUCCUGAGGGAGAAAGUGGGGGAUCUUCGGACCUCACGCUAUCAGAUGAGCCUAGGUCGGAUUAGCUAGUUGGUGGGGUAAAGGCCUACCAAGGCGACGAUCCGUAACUGGUCUGAGAGGAUGAUCAGUCACACUGGAACUGAGACACGGUCCAGACUCCUACGGGAGGCAGCAGUGGGGAAUAUUGGACAAUGGGCGAAAGCCUGAUCCAGCCAUGCCGCGUGUGUGAAGAAGGUCUUCGGAUUGUAAAGCACUUUUAGUGGGGAGGAAGAGCAGUAAGUUAAUACCUUGCUGUUUUGACGUUACCAACAGAAUAAGCACCGGCUAACUUCGUG